GACGAACGCUGGCGGCGUGCUUAACACAUGCAAGUCGAACGGAAAGGCCCUGCUUUUGUGGGGUGCUCGAGUGGCGAACGGGUGAGUAACACGUGAGUAACCUGCCCUUGACUUAGGGAUAACUUCAGGAAACUGGGGCUAAUACCGGAUAGAAGCUCCUGCUGCAUGGUGGGGGUUGGAAAGUUUCGGCUGUGGGGGAUGGACUCGCGGCUUAUCAGCUUGUUGGUGGGGUAGUGGCUUACAAAGGCUUUGAAGGGUAGCCGGCAUGGGAGGGUGACCGGGCACAUUGGGACUAAGAUACGGAGCAGACUCCUACGGGAGGCAGCAGUGGAGAAUAUUGCACAAUGGGCGGACGCCUGAUGCAGCAACGCCGCGUGCGGGAUGACGGCUUUCUGGUUGUAAACCGCUUUCGCCGGUGACGAGGCGUGAGUGACGGUAAUGGGUAAAGAAGCACCGGCUAACUACGUG
rnacentral:rRNA from 1 species